GACGAACGCUGGCGGCGUGCCUAAUACAUGCAAGUAGGACGCAGUUGCGAACGGGUGAGUAACGCGUAGGUAACUACCUAUUAGUGGGUGAUAAAUAUUGGAAACGAUAGCUAAUACCGCAUACUAGUAGAUGUACCUACGUUGUAUUAGUUAGUAGGUAGGGUAAUGGCCUACCUAGGCAACGAUACAUAGCCGACUCUAUGAGGUGAUCGGCCACACUGGGACUGGGGCACGGCCCAGACUCCUACGGGAGGGCGCAGGAGGGAAACUUCGGCAAUGGGGGGAACGCUUACCGAAGAACGGCGGGGGGGUGGAGGAGGUUUUCGGAGCGGAAAGGUCUGUUGAGAAGGGAGCGUUACUUGACGAGAAAGCGACGGCUAACUACGUGCCAGCAGCCGCGGUAAUUC
rnacentral:rRNA from 1 species